AGUGAACGCUGGCGGUAGGCCUAACACAUGCAAGUCGAACGGCAGCACAGUAAGCGCUUGCUCUUACGGGUGGCGAGUGGCGGACGGGUGAGGAAUACAUCGGAAUCUACUUUUUCGUGGGGGAUAACGUAGGGAAACUUACGCUAAUACCGCAUACGACCUACGGGUGAAAGCAGGGGAUCUUCGGACCUUGCGCGAUUGAAUGAGCCGAUGUCGGAUUAGCUAGUUGGCGGGGUAAAGGCCCACCAAGGCGACGAUCCGUAGCUGGUCUGAGAGGAUGAUCAGCCACACUAGAACUGAGACACGGUCCAGACUCCUAAGGGAGGCAGCAGUGGGGAAUAUUGGACAAUGGGCGCAAGCCUGAUCCAGCCAUCCCGCGUGGGUGAAGAAGGCCUUCGGGUUGUAAAGCCCUUUUGUCGGGAAAGAAAAGCAGCAGGUUAAUACCGGGCUGUUAUGACGGUACCCAAAGAAUAAGCACCGGCUAACUACGUG
rnacentral:rRNA from 1 species